GACGAACGCUGGCGGCGUGCUUAACACAUGCAAGUCGAACGGAAAGGCCCUGCUUUUGUGGGGUGCUCGAGUGGCGAACGGGUGAGUAACACGUGAGUAACCUGCCCUUGACUUUGGGAUAACUUCAGGAAACUGGGGCUAAUACCGGAUAGGAGCUCCUGCUGCAUGGUGGGGGUUGGAAAGUUUCGGCGGUUGGGGAUGGACUCGCGGCUUAUCAGCUUGUUGGUGGGGUAGUGGCUUACCAAGGCUUUGACGGGUAGCCGGCCUGAGAGGGUGACCGGCCACAUGGGACCUGGGAAACGGCCCGAACUCCUACGGGAGGCAGCGGGGGGGAAUAUUGAAAAUGGGCGGAAGCCUGAUGCAGCAACGCCGCGUGCGGGAUGACGGCCUUCGGGUUGUAAACCGCUUUCGCCUGUGACGAAGCGUGAGUGACGGUAAUGGGUAAAGAAGCACCGGCUAACUACGUG
rnacentral:rRNA from 1 species